UACGAAGGGGACUAGCGUUGUUCGGAAUCACUGGGCGUAAAGCGCCCGUAGGCGGAUAUGUCAGUCAGGGGUGAAAUCCCGGGGCUCAACCUCGGAACUGCCUUUGAUACAGCAUAUCUUGAGUCCGAUAGAGGUGGGUGGAAUUCCUAGUGUAGAGGUGAAAUUCGUAGAUAUUAGGAAGAACACCGGUGGCGAAGGCGGCCCACUGGAUCGGUACUGACGCUGAGGUGCGAAAGCGUGGGGAGCAAACAGG
rnacentral:rRNA from 1 species